GUGUCAGCAGCCGCGGUAAUACGGAGGAUGCGAGCGUUAUCCGGAUUUAUUGGGUUUAAAGGGUGCGCAGGCGGGCCGGAAAGUCAGCGGUAAAAUCGCGGGGCUCAACCCCGCUCCGCCGUUGAAACUGUGUCCCUUGAGUGCGCGAAGGGCAGGCGGAAUGCGUGGUGUAGCGGUGAAAUGCAUAGAUAUCACGCAGAACUCCGAUCGCGAAGGCAGCCUGCCGGCGCGCAACUGACGCUCAUGCACGAAAGCGUGGGUAUCGAACAGGAUUAGAUACCCUGGUAGUCCACGCAGUAAACGAUGGAUGCUACCUGUCCGGGGCGAACGAGCCCUGAGCGGGACAGCGAAAGCGUUAAGCAUCCCACCUGGGGAGUACGCCGGCAACGGUGAA
rnacentral:rRNA from 1 species